rnacentral:rRNA from 1 species
GACGAACGCUGGCGGCGUGCUUAACACAUGCAAGUCGAACGGAAAGGCCCUGCUUUUGUGGGGUGCUCGAGUGGCGAACGGGUGAGUAACACGUGAGUAACCUGCCCUUGACUUUGGGAUAACUUCAGGAAACUGGGGCUAAUACCGGAUAGGAGCUCCUGCUGCAUGGUGGGGGUUGGAAAGUUUCGGCGGCUGGGGAUGGACUCGCGGCUUAUCAGCUUGUUGGUGGGGUAGUGGCUUACCAAGGCUUUGACGGGUAGCCGGCCUGAGAGGGUGACCGGCCACAUUGGGACUGAGAUACGGCCCAGACUCCUACGGGAGGCAGCAGUGGGGAAUAUUGCACAAUGGGCGGAAGCCUGAUGCAGCAACGCCGCGUGCGGGAUGACGGCCUUCGGGUUGUAAACCGCUUUCGCCUGUGACGAAGCGUGAGUGACGGUAAUGGGUAAAGAAGCACUGGCUAACUACGUG